AUGGUGGUCUUCUCGGAUGCCAUCAGCAUGGGGUACUGCACUCGCGGCGGCAACAUCACCUUGGUUCUUAACCAGCUGGUGGUGGACAUCUCUGAGCCGAAGUGGGAUCCCAAGGCGGUGGCGGUUCUGGACACGGCUUGGAUCCUCAUCGCCGGCCUGCCCGAUGUUGCCCGGUCUGAGCGGGUAAUCCGCAGUAAGUCCAAGAUCCUCAGCAAGGUGGUGGUGGUCGACGAGCUCUCGCUUUGCAAGGAGGAGGAGGUUUGGGUGAAGGUGAAAUCCCUGGACUCCUCCAAGCUCCGUGCCACAGUCUCGUUUUCUUCAACGACGAGGCUUUCGACCUCAAGAUUUCCCCCGAGCCGUUGA
rnacentral:rRNA from 1 species